UAGGAGUUUCUACGUGUAUAGAUGGUUCGCGUUGCAGUUGUUUUUUGUGCCUGUCUUUUCCAUUGUGAUUCAGACUUCUCAACAGCAGGAGUAUUUGCAUAAGUAUCCUUUAAAAGUGGGUUAAAAGAGAAGACAUCACUGGCAAAGUAAUCAUAAACAGAGAGAGAAGCUGAAGAAAAUCUAAGUUGAGAGGAUGCUUGUUCAAGGAUGUAAACAACAAACUGGUGAACUCUUUACUGAAUUUGCUGUGGUGUGACAGUUGCUGCUCUGACUCAAAAGAAGAGGAAAGCCUCACGAACUUGAUGCCAUCUGCACUGGGCUGAAUCCAAGCAAGCAAACAGCCAGCCAGGAGGCUGAACGCAGGAGCAGUGGGUUGCAGGCCGAGAAACAUCUGGUCCCUGGAGUCACCAAGGCAAUUCCAGAAAAUGAUGCGCCAGUGGACCUUCGGAGAACACAUGAAAAAAAGAAAGUUUAAUAUUUUCUCCUGCCGGCUGACCUUCCCUACGGUGGCUCUCUCUCACAAGAAGAUAUAAGGCAUAGCCUGUAAUAAAAUAGGUGCUAUGGACUGUUUGUGUCCCAGCAAAAUUUGUGUGUUGGAAUCUAAUCCCCAGUGUAAUGAUAUUUGGAGGUGGGGCCUUUGGUGAUUAGGUUAUAAGUGCAGAGCCUUCAUGAAUGGGGUUAGUGCUCUCAUAAAAGAGACCCUAGAGAGAUGCUGGCCUCUUCUCCCUUGAGAACUCGGCCACGUGAGGACCAGGAAGCAGGUGCUCAUCAGACCCUCUGCCUGCCAGCACCUUGAACGUGGACCUUCCAGCCUCCAGGACUGAGAGAAGUAAAGGUCUGCUACUUCAGUCACCCGGCCUAUGGUAUUUGGUUACAACACCCGAACAGACACCAGUAACUAGGGCCGGAAAGUUCUCCAGUAGACAGUGUGUUACUUGAGAACAGGAACUGGCACGACACAUGACACGGAGCUACCGUCCAGUUUAAUAAAUGAGCUGACCUGCCAAUUCUGGACCAACCAGGGACAGGACUGGGGACUGACUCCCACCUAGAGCAGACCCAGAGAGUACAGACAGCUCUGGGUCUUCCCUUCCUCCAAGCCAGGGAGUUUUAGAAGCUGAUUCAGAGACCGAGUCCCAAAGUAGGCGGCUGGACAGGGAUGGGAACUGUGGGAUCGCAGUCUAUGUUUUGCCAUCAGAUAAAAUUAACAGUUGCGCCAGCAGGUCAAGGAGUAAUUCACUCCCGUUUGUGCCACAGCGUAGGUACAGGGAAUACGGAAAAAGAGCAAGCAAAGUGCCCGGUGUCUUUGGAGCAGUCGCUGAAGGCUGCUCUUGUGGGAUGCAGAUAUUAAUUAAGGAUAAGAUACUUCAUUUUUUUUUAAAGUUGCUGUUAGGCUCCUGUCACUGCAUUUCGUGAAUAGCAGUUGCAACGAGAGGUGAAAUCUAUAGAAUCCAAAAUACGAAUCUGCCGAAGUUUGGCCUGACAGGUUUAAAGUGAUGACCAGGAUGUGGAGCCAAUCAUGGGAAGACGGGAAGUGUUUCCUGGAGGAAGGAAGUCAAAGCUCGGAGGCAGAAACAAGUGGGAUAUGGUCAAGGGAGAGAAAGCAGGCCAUUAUAUCUGGGACGUGGAGAGUGAGGGAGGCAGUGACGGCAAGUGGAGGGAUGAGAGGUAGGCAGUGAUCAGAUCUGCGGACAAGUUAGGAAGUUUCCUCUAAGAGCAAUACAAAGCCAUGGGAGGUUUAAGCAGUGGGGCGACAUGAUUAGAGUCACAGUUCAUUCUUACCUUUGGAU